UAAGGAAUAUUGGACAAUGGAGGCAACUCUGAUCCAGCCAUGCCGCGUGAAGGAAUAAGGCCCUACGGGUUGUAAACUUCUUUUAGACGGGACAAAACCCCUUUACGUGUAAAGGGUUGAUGGUACUGUCAGAAUAAGCAUCGGCUAACUUCGUGCCAGCAGCCGCGGUAAUACGAAGGAUGCAAGCGUUAUCCGGAAUUAUUGGGUUUAAAGGGUGCGUAGGCGGACUAAUAAGUCAGUGGUGAAAGCCUGCAGCUUAACUGCAGAAUUGCCAUUGAUACUGUUAGUCUUGAGUACAGUUGAGGUAGGCGGAAUGUGUCAUGUAGCGGUGAAAUGCUUAGAUAUGACACAGAACACCGAUUGCGAAGGCAGCUUGCUAAGCUGUAACUGACGCUGAGGCACGAAAGCGUGGGGAGCAAACA
rnacentral:rRNA from 1 species